GUGGGGAAUUUUGCGCAAUGGGCGAAAGCCUGACGCAGCGACGCCGCGUGAGGGAUGAAGGUCUUCGUGAUCGUAAACCUCUGUCAGGAAGGAUUAAAGCCCGGGUAUUAAUACCACCCGGUGUUUGACUUAACUUCCGGAGGAAGCCCCGGCUAACUACGUGCCAGCAGCCGCGGUAAUACGUAGGGGGCAAGCGUUACUCGGAUUCAUUGGGCGUAAAGCGAAUGUAGGCGGUUUUGUAAGUCAGGGGUGAAAUCCCUCAGCUCAACUGAGGAAUUGCCUUUGAUACUGCUUAACUUGAGGACAGGAGAGGAAAGUGGAAUUCCAGGUGUAGCGGUGGAAUGCGUAGAUAUCUGGAGGAACACCAGAGGCGAAGGCGGCUUUCUGGACUGGUCCUGACGCUGAGAUUCGAAAGCCAGGGGAGCAAACAGGAUUAGAAACCCUAGUAGUCC
rnacentral:rRNA from 1 species